rnacentral:rRNA from 1 species
UACGUAGGGGGCAAGCGUUGUCCGGAUUUAUUGGGCGUAAAGAGCGUGUAGGCGGCCAGACAGGUCCGUUGUGAAAACUCGAGGCUCAACCUCGAGACGCCGAUGGAAACCGUCUGGCUAGAGUCCGGAAGAGGAGAGUGGAUUCCUGGUGUAGCGGUGAAAUGCGCAGAUAUCAGGAAGAACACCCGUGGCUAAGGCGGCUCUCUAGUACGGUACUGACGCUGAGACGCGAAAGCGUGGGGAGCGAACAGG